GCCAUAGCUCAGUGGUAGGGCACCUGCUUUGGAUGCAGAAGGUCCCACGUUCAAUCCCUGGCAAAAGAGGCC